AACUUUCAAUUUAUAUUAACAUCGUUGAUAAUAGUUUUAAGAGUUCAAAUUUCCUAUAUUUCAAUUUAAUUCAUAUUUUCUCUUUUUGAAAUUUUACCAUACGAUACAUUUAAAAAAAACAUUUUCUAGACAUAAUCAUUUUUUUCUUCUAAAAAUCCAUAAUAAAAAAAAUUCCUUGUUUCAUAUCUAUAAUCAUAAAGAAUAAUGCUACUCUUACCACAUUUAUAUACUAUAUUCUCAUACCAGCUUAUAUAACAAAUGAGGUGGAUAGCCACAUCAAUUCAAAUUAAGGGACAGAAAAGUCGAACACAUAGUCUUAAAUGUAGAGGAGGGAUUGUUCUUAACUAAUUGAGCUAAAGUUCAUUAAUUUUUUUGCUAUAGUAAAAAGUCAGUUAUUCAACUUUUAGCUUUUUUUGUGUGCAUAUUUUUCAUGAAUUUUUUUUUUUUUAAUAAUAAGAGCGCCUACUCUUACCUACUUGAGCUACAAUACAACCAUUACUUAUGAGAUUUAUAGUAUUUAGCCAAGUCCUAAAUGAUUAUUGUGUUAUUAAUUUUUACACCUAAUUAUUUUUAUUUAUUUUUAUCGAAGCGACACUGUGGAGACAGAAUAAAAUAUACAACCCUUGCAAAUUAAACGUGAAAACCAGUGGCUCCCACUUGCUUUUUCGUCCCUUCUUCCACCACCUCUUCCAGUUUCUUCUAAUUCCUUUCCAUUUUCAAUAAAAGUUAUUUAUAAAAAUAAAAAAAAUAAAAAAAAAGGCCGUUGUGCUUGUUUCUCUGCUACAAGCUUUUAAAACUGCACACGUUUGUCAAACAACAAUCUCCUGCCACGGCCCUCUGCAUGAUUGCUACGUAUCUGCCAUGCCGAGCUCCAUUUCUCUUUACAGCCGCUAUAAAUAGAGGCCAUGCCCUCCGUUCCUCGCUGCAGCAGCCUAGAAGCUCCGCCAUGAUCAGUUGACGGUCUGUUUUGUUCAUCUGUGUGUGCCUAUUUUCUCAGGAAAAUAGAUCACAUAUGGAGAGGCAGCAGACUUUGAAACUUUGAUUGGAGGUCUACUUCUUCCUUAAAAGCAUGGGUGAAGGGAUGAUUUGAAUCAAAC